UCCCUGGUGGCUCAGAUGGCAAAGCAUCUGCCCGCAGUGCAGGAGACCCGGGUUCGAUCCCUGGGUUGGGAA
rfam:Ovis aries breed Texel chromosome 2, whole genome shotgun sequence.